rnacentral:snoRNA from 1 species
UUAAAUGAUGAAGCAAAUUUUACAGACCUGUUCCGAGUUCAAAAUGCGGACAAACACUUAUUGCCUAUUUUUCUGAUC